rnacentral:tRNA from 1 species
AUUUAAAUAGUUUAAUUAAAAAUAUUGAUUUGUGGGAUCAAAGUUAUAUAAAAUAUUUUAAAUA